GCGGAGCGGUCGGAGGAGCCCCGCGCUCGCCCCCGAGGUGGGAUUUGCGGCCGCAGAUGGCUCCUGGGAUGCCGCGGGCACCAGACCCCGAUGCCGAAGCUGGUGCGAGCUGUGGGCGUUCGUCCCCCCCGAGCCCGGAGCCGGGCACUGGCGUGCAGAGGCAGCCGGUGCAGGGCCACGACCACGAAACGAGCUGCCCAUCCCCUGCGUUGCUGGAUUGGGCUUGUAAAGAGCUUAAAAAAUAUAUAUAUGUGUGUGGUUUCUUCGGCCAAGGGUCUGAAUCUCUAGUCGUUUUCCGCCCCCUCCACUCCCUAGGAAUUACCCAACAUACAGUGAAAGACAACAUCUGUGCCGAACCGUGUGUGUGUGUGUGUGUUUAGUUCAGGUUGAAUCGUGGUCCUUAUAAACUCUGCUCAGUUGAUUUCAGUUUUCAGUGCGUAUCUGGGGUUUUCUUUCUCAGUAGCUGCAAGCAUGGCUGCCUGUGGUGUUGGGGUGUCGCAUAACAAGGUCUGUGUUGCUGGUUUUAACCUACCUCGUUUCGGUUGGGGUUUGUUUUUUGGUUUGGGUUUUUUUUUUUUCCCCGUUCCGCUGUCGAUCACAGCGCUGUUACCUCCAGCGACAUAUAGAGAGCUUAACUGGCAAUCUUGGUGUACUCAGUAACGAUGGCUUUAUUAAAAAAUGAUUAAAUCAACAGGACUUGGU